ACGACCGCAUCACAUUGAAACACCAGUUCCCAUACAAUCACCGGUUAAGCAAUGUCAAGCCUGGUCAGUACUUAGAUGGGUGACUGCUUGGGAAUACCGGGUGCU